GGUAUGGCCGAGUGGUCGAAGGUACUAGUCUCCAAAACUAGUUAUUGUACAAUACGCGUGGGUUCGAAUCCUACUGCCC
rnacentral:tRNA from 1 species